AUUCCGGUUGAUCCUGCCGGAGGCUAUUGCUAUCGGGAUCCGAUUCAGGCAUGCUAGUCGUACGAGUUCAUACUCGUGGCGUAUAGCUCAGUAACACGUGGUCAAACCACCCUCUGGACUGAGAUACCCUCGGGAAACUGAGGUCAAUCUCGGAUACUGCUUUCACGUUGGAAAAACGGAAAGCUGGAAACGGUCCGCCGCCGGAGGACGUGACUGCGGCUGAUUAGGUAGACGGUGGGGUAACGGCCCACCGUGCCAAUAAUCAGUACGGGUUGUGAGAGCAAGAGCCCGGAGACGGAAUCUGAGACAAGAUUCCGGGCCCUACGGGGCGCAGCAGCCGCGAAACCUUUACACUGCACGACAGUGCGAUAAGGGGAUCCCGAGUGCGAGGGCAUACAGUCCUCGCUUUUCGUGACCGUAAGGUGGUCACAGAAUAAGGGCUGGGCAAGACCGGUGCCAGCCGCCGCGGUAAUACCGGCAGCCCGAGUGAUAGCCAAUUUUAUUGGGCCUAAAGCGUCCGUAGCUGGCCGAACAGGUCCGUCGGGAAAUCCACCCGCUUAACGGGUGGGCGUCCGGCGGAAACCAGUCGGCUUGGGGCCGGGAGACCAAAGGGGUACGUCCGGGGUAGGAGUGAAAUCCCGUAAUCCUGGACGGACCGCCGGUUGCGAAAGCGCCUUUGGAGAACGGACCCGACAGUGAGGGACGAAAGCUAGGGUCUCGAACCGGAUUAGAUACCCGGGUAGUCCUAGCCGUAAACGAUGCUCGCUAGUUGUGACGCAGGCUACGAGCCUGCGUUGCGCCGUAGGGAAGCCGAGAAGCGAGCCGCCUGGGAAGUACGUCCGCAAGGAUGAAACUUAAAGGAAUUG
rnacentral:rRNA from 1 species